UACGUAGGUGGCAAGCGUUAUCCGGAAUUAUUGGGCGUAAAGAGCGCGCAGGUGGUUGAUUAAGUCUGAUGUGAAAGCCCACGGCUUAACCGUGGAGGGUCAUUGGAAACUGGUCGACUUGAGUGCAGGAGAGGAGAGUGGAAUUCCUAGUGUAGCGGUGAAAUGCGUAGAUAUUAGGAGGAACACCAGUUGCGAAGGCGGCUCUCUGGACUGUAACUGACACUGAGGCACGAAAGCGUGGGGAGCAAACAGGAUUAGAUACCCGU
rnacentral:rRNA from 1 species